UGUAAAUGAAGUUUGACCUGUUCACCGAAAAUGGCUUCUUCUUAAGGACAUGAGUCCUUGUAGAAGUUCAUCACAAGGCCUGGAUCUUCCUCAUUCUAUGCAAGAGCAGGAUUGAGAGAUACAGUAGAGAAGGAGAAUAGAGCAAAGAAGAAGGAAGCUUUGA